AGUGAACGCUGGCGGUAGGCCUAACACAUGCAAGUCGAACGGCAGCACAGUAAGAGCUUGCUCUUACGGGUGGCGAGUGGCGGACGGGUGGGGAAUACAUCGGAAUCUACUUUUUCGUGGGGGAUAACGUAGGAAAACUUACGCUAAUACCGCAUACGACCUACGGGUGAAAGCAGGGGAUCUUCGGACCUUGCGCGAUUGAAUGAGCCGAUGUCGGAUUAGCUAGUUGGCGGGGUAAAGGCCCACCAAGGCGACGAUCCGUAGCUGGUCUGAGAGGAUGAUCAGCCACACUGGAACUGAGACACGGUCCAGACUCCUACGGGAGGCAGCAGUGGGGAAUAUUGGACAAUGGGCGCAAGCCUGAUCCAGCCAUACCGCGUGGGUGAAGAAGGCCUUCGGGUUGUAAAGCCCUUUUGUUGGGAAAGAAAAGCAGCAGGUUAAUACCCCGCUGUUCUGACGGUACCCAAAGAAUAAGCACCGGCUAACUUCGUG
rnacentral:rRNA from 1 species